CCUACGGGCGGCAGCAGUCGGGAAUAUUGCGCAAUGGAGGAAACUCUGACGCAGUGACGCCGCGUGCAGGAAGAAGGUUUUCGGAUUGUAAACUGCUUUAGACAGGGAAGAAAAAAGACAGUACCUGUAGAAUACGCUCCGGCUAACUACGUGCCAGCAGCCGCGGUAAUACGUAGGGAGCAAGCGUGAUCCGGAAUCACUGGGCGUAAAGAGCGCGUAGGCGGGAUAGCAAGUCAGAUGUGAAAUCCUAUGGCUUAACCAUUGAACUGCAUUUGAAACUGUUAUUCUAGAGUAUGGGAGAGGUAGGUGGAAUUCUUGGUGUAGGGGUAAAAUCCGUAGAGAUCAAGAGGAAUACUCAUUGCGAAGGCGACCUGCUAGAACAUAACUGACGCUGAUGCGCGAAAGCGUGGGGAGCAAACAGGAUUAGAUACCCUAGUAGUC
rnacentral:rRNA from 1 species